GAUGAACGCUGGCGGCGUGCCUAAUACAUGCAAGUCGAGCGAACAGACGAGGAGCUUGCUCCUCUGACGUUAGCGGCGGACGGGUGAGUAACACGUGGAUAACCUACCUAUAAGACUGGGAUAACUUCGGGAAACCGGAGCUAAUACCGGAUAAUAUAUUGAACCGCAUGGUUCAAUAGUGAAAGACGGUUUUGCUGUCACUUAUAGAUGGAUCCGCGCCGCAUUAGCUAGUUGGUAAGGUAACGGCUUACCAAGGCAACGAUGCGUAGCCGACCUGAGAGGGUGAUCGGCCACACUGGAACUGAGACCCGGUCCAGACUCCUAAGGGAGGCAGGAGUAGGGAAUCUUUCGCAAUGGGCGAAAGCCUGACGGAGCAACGCCGCGUGAGUGAUGAAGGUCUUCGGACCGUAAAACUCUGUUAUUAGGGAAGAACAAAUGUGUAAGUAACUAUGCACGUCUUGACGGUACCUAAUCAGAAAGCCACGGCUAACUACGUG
rnacentral:rRNA from 1 species